rnacentral:lncRNA from 1 species
AUUAAGAUAAUAACAUCAUAUAUAAUAAUCAUUAUUAAAAGUUUACCUACAUAAACAUAUCUCAGGUCAUCUAACCUUUAUUACAUCACAAUUGCAAAAAAAAUAAUUAAAUCCAUUACAUAACUCAAUAUGAGUAAAUAUAAGCUAAAAAUCAUCUAAUCAUGCAUUUUGCCCUUGCCUUUGCUCGAAGAAGGCUUCUUAGGUUCCUCGAACUUAACUGGAAUGGUUAUGCAAGGGUGUGCAAUCAAUUUACCCACAAGUAUAAUAAUAUAUAAUAAAUGACUCAUAAAAGAAACAUAUGUUUAUUCUUCAAUUGAAUGAAAAGUCCCUUAUUGGAAUAAAUCAUUAAUAAGUCAAAAACUUUUGAAAUCAACGAGAUAAUCAAUUCUAUAAAUCAAAUCAUAGAUGUUGAAUUCAAAUGUAUACACCGAGGGUCACAAGACCAUGAACUAUAUCCUAAGUUCACAAGUAUUUCUACUGUAACCUUUAACAGUCAAAAUACAAUGGACCAUCUCAGCCCUUCGUAUUAUGUAUUGUGCAUAAAUAUAUCAUCGUUAUUGCGUAGUUCAGAAUUAUAGUUUUCGAUAACAUUUUCCCUUGAAUAGGGUUGUUCAUCUCAGCUUUAUCACAAGAAAUUAACCACACCAAAAUAAUUCAAUUUGGUAUAACUUCAGAAAUAAUUCUAGAUUUUUAGAACGCUCAUCGAAUAAGGACUAGCCGAAUCAAAUGGGUUCGAUAUUAAAUCAAAGGAUUCAAUAAUCAUAUCAAGUUGUGGCACAUCAACAUGCCAUAAAUCGUUAAUUUCAAUUAAAAUAGAAUUACAACUAUUCAUAAUUGAACAAGUGUCAUUUAUCAAAGUAAUGCUUUUGAAAAUAAUUAGAGAGAUUGCAAGUACUCAACAAAUUAAUUCAAGUACGAAAGGAAUAAUAUAUAAUAGAAAAUUUUGCUCAAUAUUGAAAUAUAAGCAAAAGUUAAGAAACUUGAGCGCCCGCUACAAAGUUAUGAUAUACGUCCUUUAAAUAUCCUACACAUUUUAGUCAUGAUAAUACAUUGAUUAGCUAUGAAACAAUGUUCACUAACCUCUUACACUAACUCCAUUCUAUGACCCAUCAUUCUUUGAUGUGAAUACGACUUGUUAUUAUAUCUUUUUACACACUUAACACCUCAUUAUGUUCAUUAGAAUAAGUUAAGUAAAACAUCUCCCAAUAUGUACAUUUAAAAUCUCAUUACUUGGCCUGAUCUACCACCAGCGCGGCCGCGCCACAUUUGGCCUUGGUACCAGCGUGGCAGCGCUUUUGCGCAGUCGAGCCCAGUUAAGCUUGGAUCAUGGUGUGACAGUGCCCUCCUGCAGAAUAAGUUUUCCAAUUUUGUUUCAUACUCUGUUUCCAUCUGAACUUUCUAUCUUAUUCAUUUAGGGACCAAAUCAGAUAGUUUACAAUUCUAUAAACUCGCUACACACUGAACUACACAUUUACAUAACAAUUUUUCCAUUACAGGAAUUCUAUCCAACCAUUUAAAUAACCCAAAUUCAGUAUUCAUGUUAUAUAUUCCUAUUUUAACAUAUUUUACGAAUUCGUUGUAAGUCCGAUUUAAUUCAUUCAAACUGGAUUGUUUUUGUAUUUGAGAGAUAUAUAACAUAGAAUCAUCAAUUCAAGACUUUAAACAUAAUAUUAGAACCAAUUUAUCCUCUAAAUCAGAGCCAAAAUAUCUAAAAUCAGUCCAAAGUCUAUUUCUUUCUCUUUUACACACAAAUUCUAAUUUGAUUACUCUAAUUUUACUGUAAAUGACAAAAAUCAAAUUAUUAAUCAAUUGAAAUCACGUAAUUUGAAAUUUUCACCAACUCAUUCAACCAAACAACUUCUAAUAGAGAAAAACUUAAGAAAUAGGAAUAAGAAGUUUUGAAGUGUCUUUCCUACCUCUUAGAUCUUCUUUAGCCUAGUUAGAUUAUGAAGAAUGCUUGGUUAACUCUUCCUUCUUCUCCUUGAUCAACAAAGUUUUCUCCAUACUUCGCAGGAAGCCCAUUGACGCUCUUUCUCUCUCUUUGAGUUCUCUCAAUUUUCUCUCUACCGGAUUUCUUCUUAACGAAAUGGAAUAAUAAGGAAAUGAGAGUAAUAUACUUGUAAUUAAUUAACCGAUCGGUUAAGGAAUGGAAGGUCAGAGCCGUUUGGGAGAGCUCAGGUACAUUUCAAGGUUUAUUAUUAUUAUUAUUAUUAUUAUUAUUAUUAUUAUUAUUAUUAAUUUCCCUCUGCAAGUCUCCUCCACUCUCCAUCCUUAUUAAACUGAAAACACCUUGCUUAAUUUCUAUUAGUCAAGGUAUUUUUAAUUGCCUGCUAUAUUAUUUAGCCUUUUCACUUCCCCUAUUAUAUCCAGUUAAUACUUCUCAAAUAUAGAUAGUUAUAUCCCAUUUAUCCACCCAUUAAACUAAAUUUUAUAUUUUAAUUUGAACUUAAAUUGGGUUUCUUAAGAAAUGAAAUUAGGCAUUUAAUUUUCACAUAUUCGGAAUAUUUUAUUCCCUACACUCAGACCUUAUUUAAUUUAAUAAAAUUCUAUUAAGCCAAUUAUCAAUUAAAUCAAAUUUAAUUCUUUUAAUUAGAUUAAUUAUAUUCUUCAUCCAUUAGCGUACAAAAAUAAUCAUAUAUUUGGGUAACAUAAAUACACCAAAUAAAUUAUUCUAAACAAAAUUCUCACCAAAAUAUUUAUUUAAUUCCAUAAAUAUUUGUAACUCUUUUUAAAAAAUUACAAUCGUUACAGUAUAUGUUACCCAUUUAUAAUACAAAAAGUGUAGUAAAGAGAAAUCAUAAAAUUUAAAACUAAAAUACAGUUCGAACUCCAAAGUUUACAUGUAAGAGUAUGGUCAUACCCCAAACUUUAAAAGGUGCCUUCUUUCACCCUUUAUUUAUACAUUAAAUAAACUAAACAAAUUCCACUGAAGGAAUUUUUUAUUUUUAGAGGCAUGUGUUUGAUCCAUCAUCGUCAAGUUAUAUUUGGUGUGAUUGUUUCUCUGAAACAGUGGAGAACAUUCAAGAGAUUGAGGUGUUUUGUGUAUGGGCGAGUAUACUCAUUGUUGCAGUGUAUAGUCGGUUAAGCAAGGGCGGAGCAAGGAAUUUUUGCCGCCCUGGGCUACCAAGUACCAACCAUAUACACAAGAAAUUAUCCCACCAAGAUCAAUCAUAAAUUCAAAAUAUAUAUAAAGGUUACCUUGCCCAAAACAUUGGCUAAUUCACAAGUUUUAGCAUAACAAUCUCUUAGAGGCAAAAUUUCAAACAAUUUAAAGGCGUACUCUAAAAUCCCAGAUUUCAUAAGCAUAAUAGAUGGAGCUUAGCCAAAAAUUUCAUCCUUAUUACUCCAAUUAGCAUAUAUAUAACCUCCCAUCACAUCAACAAAGCAAUUUCAAUACGUUAUUUAACUCAAAUUCACGAAUUUAACAAGUAUAAACUAAAUUACCUUUUUGCUUCAUGUUUUUACUUGAAUCCUUGAUUCAAUCUUGCUCCCAACUUGCUUUGAUUGAAUUCAAUUCUUCAUUUGGACAAUACUUUUGCUUCACUUCUACUUUAAUUUCAGUACUUGAUAACCUCAAUUCCUUAAGAACUUGAUGGAGUUUUUAGUCCAAGCAAAGAGAAAGAGGUUGGAACGGAUGGAAAGCAAGGAACUGUCAAAAACUUCACCCGGGCUAGAGCCCAUCCCAGCCCAAGCGUGGCUCCGCCCCUGCGGUUAAGGGAUGUUGGGUGUAAGUAAUUUCAGUGUAUCUUAUUUUGAAUCAGUGGAGUUUUAGAAGUGAAAAUUGAGAGUCAUUGGUGAGUUUUAACAGUUUCAACUAUGUGUAAUAUUUGGUUAGAAAAGAUAUUAAGCUAUUUUUGAGAAAAAGUUUAG